UACGAUGAAGAGUUUGAUCCUGGCUCAGGAUGAACGCUAGCGGCAGGCCUAACACAUGCAAGUCGAGGGGUAACAGGGAGAGCUUGCUUUCUGCUGACGACCGGCGCACGGGUGCGUAACGCGUAUACAAUCUGCCUAUCACUGAGGGAUAGCCCGAAGAAAUUUGGAUUAACACCUCAUAGUAUUAUAGAAUCGCAUGGUUUUAUAAUUAAAGGUUACGGUGAUAGAUGAGUAUGCGUCCUAUUAGCUAGAUGGAGAGGUAAAGGCUCCCCAUGGCUACGAUAGGUAGGGGGGGUCCUGAGAGGGAGAUCCCCCCCCACACUGGUACUGAGACACGGACCAGACUCCUACGGGAGGCAGCAGUGAGGAAUAUUGGACAAUGGGCGCAAGCCUGAUCCAGCCAUGCCGCGUGUAGGAAGACGGCCCUAUGGGUUGUAAACUACUUUUAUACGGGAAGAAACCUAUCCUCGUGAGGAUAGCUGACGGUACCGUAAGAAUAAGCACCGGCUAACUCCGUGCCAGCAGCCGCGGUAAUACGGAGGGUGCAAGCGUUAUCCGGAAUCAUUGGGUUUAAAGGGUCCGUAGGCGGGCUAAUAAGUCAGUGGUGAAAUGCAGGGGCUCAACUCCGGCACUGCCAUUGAUACUGUUAGUCUUGAAUUAUUGUGAAGUGGUUAGAAUAUGUAGUGUAGCGGUGAAAUGCUUAGAUAUUACAUAGAAUACCGAUUGCGAAGGCAGAUCACUAACAAUAUAUUGACGCUGAUGGACGAAAGCGUGGGUAGCGAACAGGAUUAGAUACCCUGGUAGUCCACGCCGUAAACGAUGGUUACUAGCUGUUUGGACGAAUUGACGUCUGAGUGGCCAAGCGAAAGUGAUAAGUAACCCACCUGGGGAGUACGUUCGCAAGAAUGAAACUCAAAGGAAUUGACGGGGGGCCCGCACAAGCGGUGGAGCAUGUGGUUUAAUUCGAUGAUACGCGAGGAACCUUACCAGGGCUUAAAUGUAGUAUGACAGAUUUGGAAACAGAUUUUUCUUCGGACAUAUUACAAGGUGCUGCAUGGUUGUCGUCAGCUCGUGCCGUGAGGUGUCAGGUUAAGUCCUAUAACGAGCGCAACCCCCCUAUUGCUAGUUGCCAGCGAGUCAUGUCGGGGACUCUAGCGAGACUGCCGGUGCAAACCGUGAGGAAGGUGGGGGGGAUGACGUCAAAUCAUCACGGCCCUUACGUCCUGGGCCACACACGUGCUACAAUGGUAGGGACAGAGAGCAGCCACCACGCGAGUGGGAGCGAAUCUAUAAACCCUAUCACAGUUCGGAUCGUAGUCUGCAACUCGACUACGUGAAGCUGGAAUCGCUAGUAAUCGCAUAUCAGCCAUGAUGCGGUGAAUACGUUCCCGGGCCUUGUACACACCGCCCGUCAAGCCAUGGAAGCUGGGGGGGGUACCUGAAGUCGGUGACCGCAAGGAGCUGCCUAGGGUAAAACCGGUAACUGGGGGGGCUAAGUCGUAACAAGGUAGCCGUACCGGAAGGUGCGGCUGGAACACCUCCUUUCU
rnacentral:rRNA from 1 species